rnacentral:rRNA from 1 species
GAUGAACGCUGGCGGCGUGCCUAAUACAUGCAAAUCGAGCGAACGGACGAGAAGCUUGCUUUUCUGAUGUUAGCGGCGGACGGGUGAGUAACACGUGGAUAACCUACCUAUAAGACUGGGAUAACUUCGGGAAACCGGAGCUAAUACCGGAUAAUAUUUUGAACCGCAUGGUUCAAAAGUGAAAGACGGUCUUGCUGUCACUUAUAGAUGGAUCCGCGCUGCAUUAGCUAGUUGGUAAGGUAACGGCUUACCAAGGCAACGAUGCAUAGCCGACCUGAGAGGGUGAUCGGCCACACUGGAACUGAGACACGGUCCAGACUCCUACGGGAGGCAGCAGUAGGGAAUCUUCCGCAAUGGGCGAAAGCCUGACGGAGCAACGCCGCGUGAGUGAUGAAGGUCUUCGGAUCGUAAAACUCUGUUAUUAGGGAAGAACAUAUGUGUAAGUAACUGUGCACAUCUUGACGGUACCUAAUCAGGAAGCCACGGCUAACUACGU